GAGGGUAUAGCUCAAGUGGUAGAGUGUGUGCUUAGCAUGCACAAGGUCCUGGGUUCAAUCCCCAGUACCUCCU
rnacentral:tRNA from 1 species